rnacentral:hammerhead_ribozyme from 1 species
GUACUGCUGUAGAGUCCCACACCGGAGCGAAACAGCUGUCCAGUAC